rnacentral:rRNA from 1 species
GACCUCGAUCAGGUAGGGACC